UACGUAGGGGGCUAGCGUUGUCCGGAAUCAUUGGGCGUAAAGAGCGUGUAGGCGGCUCGGUAAGUCCGCUGUGAAAGUCCAGGGCUCAACCCUGGAAUGCCAGUGGAAACUGUCGAGCUAGAGUCCGGGAAGAGGCGAGUGGAAUUCCUGGUGUAGCGGUGAAAUGCGCAGAUAUCAGGAGGAACACCAAUGGCGAAGGCAGCUCGCUGGGACGGUACUGACGCUGAGGCACGAAAGCGUGGGGAGCAAACAGG
rnacentral:rRNA from 1 species